rnacentral:rRNA from 1 species
ACAAGCGGUGGAGUAUGUGGUUUAAUUCGACGCAACGCGCAGAACCUUACCUGGUCUUGACAUCCCGAGAAUUUCUGGAAACAGAGAAGUGCCUCGCAAGAGGAAUUCGGAGACAGGUGCUGCAUGGCUGUCGUCAGCUCGUGUCGUGGGAUGUUGGGUUAAGUCCCGCAACGAGCGCAACCCUUGUCUUUAGUUGCCAUCGGGUCACGCCGGGAACUCUAAGGGGACCGCCCCGGACAACGGGGAGGAAGGUGGGGAUGACGUCAAGUCAGCAUGGCCUUUAUGUCCAGGGCUACACACGUGCUACAAUGGUUGGUACAAAGGGUUGCCAAGCCGUGAGGCGGAGCCAAUCUCAAAAAGCCAACCUCAGUUCGGAUUGCAGUCUGCAACUCGACUGCAUGAAGUUGGAAUCGCUAGUAAUCGCUGAUCAGCAGGCAGCGGUGAAUACGUUCCCGGGCCUU